UUUGAAGCAGCAUUUAAUGCAUUUGCGACACGCCUUCACCGGUGACUUUGGUGUGAAGCAGCCUACUAAGGCACGCGGUGAAUGCCAAUCGCUCUUGCUACUUUGCACUCUGUUUGCC
rnacentral:pre_miRNA from 9 species